rnacentral:rRNA from 1 species
GCAUAUCAAUAAGCGGAGGAAAAGAAACCAACAGGGAUUGCCUCAGUAACGGCGAGUGAAGCGGCAACAGCUCAAAUUUGAAAUCUCCUUCGGGCGAGUUGUAAUUUGGAGAGGAUGCUUUGGGGUCGUCCCCGGUCCAAGUCCCUUGGAACAGGGCGUCGCAGAGGGUGAGAGUCCCGUACGCGGCCGGGUGGCUUCCCCGUGUAAAGCUCCUUCGACGAGUCGAGUUGUUUGGGAAUGCAGCUCUAAAUGGGAGGUAUAUUUCUUCUAAAGCUAAAUACCGGCCAGAGACCGAUAGCGCACAAGUAGAGUGAUCGAAAGAUGAAAAGCACUUUGGAAAGAGAGUUAAAAAGUACGUGAAAUUGUUGAAAGGGAAGCGUUUGCGGCCAGACUUGACGGGGUUGCUCAACCGGUCUCUGCCCGGUGCACUCUUCUCCCGUCAGGCCAGCAUCAGUUUGGGCGGCCGGACAAAGGCAGCGGGAACGUGGCUCCUCGGAGUGUUACAGCCCGCCGCACAAUACGGCCUGCCCGGACUGAGGACAGCGUUCGCUAGGAUGCUGGCGUAAUGGCAAGCAACGGCCCGUCUUGAAACAUGGACC